UACGUAGGGUGCGAGCGUUGUCCGGAAUUAUUGGGCGUAAAGAGCUCGUAGGCGGCUUGUCGCGUCGGCUGUGAAAACCUGGGGCUCAACCCCGGGCCUGCAGCCGAUACGGGCAAGCUAGAGUUCGGUAGGGGAGACUGGAAUUCCUGGUGUAGCGGUGAAAUGCGCAGAUAUCAGGAAGAACACCCGUGGCGAAGGCGGCUCUCUGGGACGGUACUGACGCUGAGACGCGAAAGCGUGGGGAGCGAACAGG
rnacentral:rRNA from 1 species